GAUGAACGCUGGCGGCGUGCCUAAUACAUGCAAGUCGAGCGGUAAGGUUCUCACUCUGUAUUUAACGAGUUUGAAUAUAGUGUGAGAAUACACGAGCGGCGGACGGCUGAGUAACACGUAGGAACGUACCCCAAAGUGAGGCAUAAGCAUCAGAAAUGAUGUCUAAUACCGCAUGUGAUCUUCGGAUUAAAGCUUCGGCGCUUUGGGAACGGCCUGCGCAUGAUUAGCUUGUUGGUGAGGUAAUAGCUCACCAAGGCGACGAUCAUUAGCUGGUCUGAGAGGAUGAUCAGCCAGACUGGGACUGAGAACGGCCCAGACUCCUACGGGAGCAGCAGUA
rnacentral:rRNA from 1 species